rnacentral:rRNA from 1 species
AGUGAACGCUGGCGGUAGGCCUAACACAUGCAAGUCGAACGGCAGCACAGUAAGAGCUUGCUCUUACGGGUGGCGAGUGGCGGACGGGUGAGGAAUACAUCGGAAUCUACUUUUUCGUGGGGGAUAACGUAGGGAAACUUACGCUAAUACCGCAUACGACCUACGGGUGAAAGCAGGGGAUCUUCGGACCUUGCGCGAUUGAAUGAGCCGAUGUCGGAUUAGCUAGUUGGCGGGGUAAAGGCCCACCAAGGCGACGAUCCGUAGCUGGUCUGAGAGGAUGAUCAGCCACACUGGAACUGAGACACGUUCCAGGCUCCUACGGGAGGCAGCAGUGGGGAAUAUUGGACAAUGGGCGCAAGCCUGAUCCAGCCAUACCGCGUGUGUGAAGAAGGCCUUCGGGUUGUAAAGCCCUUUUGUUGGGAAAGAAAAGCAGCAGGUUAAUACCCCGCUGUUCUGACGGUACCCAAAGAAUAAGCACCGGCUAACUUCGUG